rnacentral:rRNA from 1 species
UACGGGGGGGGCAAGCGUUGUUCGGAAUUACUGGGCGUAAAGCGCGUGUAGGCGGCUUUUCAAGUCGAGUGUGAAAUCCCCAGGCUUAACCUGGGAACUGCGCUCGAUACUGUUGAGCUAGAGUGCGGUAGGGGAGACUGGAAUUCCUGGUGUAGCGGUGAAAUGCGCAGAUAUCAGGAGGAACACCGGUGGCGAAGGCGGGUCUCUGGGCCGUAACUGACGCUGAGGAGCGAAAGCAUGGGGAGCGAACAGG